UUUUUAUUAGUAUAAGAAGUACACUCCGCUUAGGACGGAGGGGUCCCGACUGGGGUACGAAAGUAGUUGAAACGUUAGGGAAAA
rnacentral:tRNA from 1 species